rnacentral:rRNA from 1 species
UACGUAGGUGACAAGCGUUAUCCGGAAUUACUGGGCGUAAAGCGCACGCAGGCGGCGCGGUAAGUCUGAUGUGAAAUCUCCCGGCUCAACUGGGCGGGGUCAGCGGAUACGGCCGAGCUUGAGCAAGCUAGGGGGCAAUGGAAUUCCCGGUGUAGUGGUGGAAUGCGUAGAUAUCGGGAGGAACACCAGUGGCGAAGGCGGUUGCCUGGGGCUUUGCUGACGCUGAUGCGCGAAAGCGUGGGGAGCGAUCCGG